AAGGCAGGAGCUGACGCAGAGCCCGUGGAGGGGUGCUGCUUACUGGCUUGCUCUCCAUGGCUUGCUUGCUCAACCUGUCUUCAUAUAGAACCCAGGGCCCCCUGCCACAAUAGGCUGGUCGUCCUCCAUGAAUCACUAAUUAAGAAAAUACCCUACAGGCUUGCCCUAUCAUCUAAUCUUAUUGAGGCAUUUUCCUCAAUUAAGGCUUCCUCCUUUCCAGGCUGUGGCCUCAUCAUCUCUCCCCAUCAAGGGAAUGGCUACUAUGAGCUAAUUUCAUCCCACAAGACCACAUCAUUUCAAAGUUCCACCACCUCCCCAAAGUGCCACGGACAGACGGCCAAACCUUUAACAUGUGGUCCUUUGAGAGGUGUUUGUCUAAACAUUUGCAGUAGGAUUCCUAGGUUGAGAACACUCUGGAAAGGCCAAAGCACAUAUUUAAUAACCACAAGUCAGCUGAAUUAACGUGUUACGGCAAAACUGAUUUCCUGAUGUGUGGGGGACAAGCGAUUGUCUCACAUGAAGAUUUUGAGAGAAAGUCAAGAGGCUGAUUCUGGGGACGGCAAAUCGGGAUAAGUAAGCAGAAAGAAGAGCUGGGCACCUAACAGCGGUGGUAUAAAAGUCGUCACCCCAAGGACCUUGACCACCCACUCCGUAUCCUAGUGGAUAAACCACCAUCAGUGUCUCUGACAUCACCUCAGUCAUCCUGUUCACACAAUGAAGACAAGGGUGGUCUCUCCCAAUCUUACGGUGAGAAAAAUGAUGAGAAAACAGAGGUGCCACUUUUACAGUGUCUUGAGCUUGGUGGAAAAGUAAGAUAAUCCAUGUGUGCUAAUUCAUAAUACCCUUUAGAAAUGGAUUUAUUGUUCUUCCAUGAAAGCACACGAUGUCACAGGAGCACGCACGUGGCGUGGCAUGUAUGGAGAUCGGAGGUCAACUUCAGGCAGUUAGUUCCCUGCUUUCCGUUCUGUGUGGGUUCUGGUUGUCAGGCUUGCCUGGUGAGCAUUUUAGCUACUGAACUGUCUUGCUAGCCCAGAUUCCUACUACUCUUAUUGCAUUUUUAGAAUAAUAACAGCAAGAAAUAGUUUGAGGAGGAUGAUCUCAAUUUCUAAAAGUUCAUCAUCCCAGCUGUAGUACAUGACGCUUUCUGAGAUCCCCUUCCUUGGAGGUGGCACACUGGUGGGCACCAUGGCUCAUGGAGUUAAGAAUCUGAGGCUGAAUCUAGAGUUGUUGGAUUAACAGUCUCAAAGGAAGCCUUUCUGUGUGCUAUUUCCAUCCUGAGAGAUGCUAACGACAGUCUAGAUGUUGUAGAAUCAAAACGAAGUUCAGACAGCAUGCUAAGGACUGCCAACAGCAAAUUGUAUAUAAAAAAACCCUCAUUGAUUCUGAAAAGCUAUUUCCAAGGUGUCUUAUCUCCCGAACAUUAACCAUUCAUCAGGAAAACCCAUUUACAUCCUAAUUGGAGCAGAAUUCACAAGCAGGAGUAAAGAUGUUGUCGGUUUGGUAAUGUUCCCAAAAUGACCUCCUUAGCUCUGUGGUCUCUGCGAGCAUUUCUAAGAAGGCAAUGGAGAUUAUUGAUUGAUUAUUGAUUUAUGGACUUAUUCUGUUAUGAAUUCUUAUUUAUGUACUGUGUCACUUGCCAAAUCAAGGCUUUUGUCAAUAAGAACAUUCUAUUCAAUCUUUAUCUAUUAGCACCCUGACACAAAACAUCUAACAUCACCCUGGCCACUUACUUCUGUCUAUCACAGCAAAGAGAGGAUGCAAUGAAUUGGAGGGAUGGGAGUAUCAUAAGGCUUUUAAAAAAAAUCUGUAAUGGCAAA